rnacentral:lncRNA from 1 species
CGUCAGGUUCUAGAUUGUUUACCCUAAAACGUGUCACUAUAGCGAAUAAAAUUAUCAUAUGAAACAGAAUAUGGUCAAAUGUACCUAGUCGGCCCACGGAAUAUUGUAAUAAAUCUAAAGAGCAGGGUCGCUGCCUUGCAUGCAACAAGUUAAUUUAGUCCAUGAUUGUAGUGAUUAACAGGUUGGCCAUGUUACGCUUGUCUUCUAUAGCCCCCCACAUGAG